CUCCCUGAGAUCAGCGGCGGACGGGUGAGUAACACGUGGGUAACCUGCCUGUAAGACUGGGAUAACUCCGGGAAACCGGGGCUAAUACCGGAUAACACCUACCCCCGCAUGGGGGAAGGUUGAAAGGUGGCUUCGGCUAUCACUUACAGAUGGACCCGCGGCGCAUUAGCUAGUUGGUGAGGUAAUGGCUCACCAAGGCGACGAUGCGUAGCCGACCUGAGAGGGUGAUCGGCCACACUGGGACUGAGACACGGCCCAGACUCCUACGGGAGGCAGCAGUAGGGAAUCUUCCGCAAUGGACGAAAGUCUGACGGAGCAACGCCGCGUGAGUGAAGAAGGUUUUCGGAUCGUAAAACUCUGUUGUUAGGGAAGAACAAGUGCCGUUCGAAUAGGGCGGCGCCUUGACGGUACCUAACCAGAAAGCCACGGCUAACUACGUGCCAGCAGCCGCGGUAAUACGUAGGUGGCAAGCGUUGUCCGGAAUUAUUGGGCGUAAAGCGCGCGCAGGUGGUUUCUUAAGUCUGAUGUGAAAGCCCACGGCUCAACCGUGGAGGGUCAUUGGAAACUGGGGAACUUGAGUGCAGAAGAGGAAAGUGGAAUUCCAAGUGUAGCGGUGAAAU
rnacentral:rRNA from 2 species